CCUACGUGUGGCUGCAGUGAGGAAUCUUGGUCAAUGGACGCAAGUCUGAACCAGCCAUGCCGCGUGCAGGACGACGGCUCUAUGAGUUGUAAACUUCUUUUGUACGAGGGUAAACGCAGAUACGCGUCUCUGUUUGAACGUACCGUAUGAAUAAGGAUCGGCUAACUCCGUGCCAGCAGCUGCGGUAAUACGGAGGAUCCAAGCGUUAUCCGGAUUUAUUGGGUUUAAAGGGUGCGUAGGCGGUCGGAUAAGUUAGAGGUGAAAUCCCGAGGCUCAACUUCGGAAGUGCCUCUGAUACUGGUCGGCUAGAGAGUAGUUGAGGUAGGCGGAAUGUAUGGUGUAGCGGUGAAAUGCUUAGAGAUCAUACAGAACACCGAUUGCGAAGGCAGCUUACCAAGCUACUACUGACGUUGAGGCACGAAAGCGUGGGGAGCAAACAGGAUUAGAUACCCGAGUAGUC
rnacentral:rRNA from 1 species